rnacentral:rRNA from 1 species
GCAGUCGAGCGGACAGAUGGGAGCUUGCUCCCUGAUGUUAGCGGCGGACGGGUGAGUAACACGUGGGUAACCUGCCUGUAAGACUGGGAUAACUCCGGGAAACCGGGGCUAAUACCGGAUGGUUGUUUGAACCGCAUGGUUCAAACAUAAAAGGUGGCUUCGGCUACCACUUACAGAUGGACCCGCGGCGCAUUAGCUAGUUGGUGAGGUAACGGCUCACCAAGGCAACGAUGCGUAGCCGACCUGAGAGGGUGAUCGGCCACACUGGGACUGAGACACGGCCCAGACUCCUACGGGAGGCAGCAGUAGGGAAUCUUCCGCAAUGGACGAAAGUCUGACGGAGCAACGCCGCGUGAGUGAUGAAGGUUUUCGGAUCGUAAAGCUCUGUUGUUAGGGAAGAACAAGUACCGUUCGAAUAGGGCGGUACCUUGACGGUACCUAACCAGAAAGCCACGGCUAACUACGUGCCAGCAGCCGCGGUAAUACGUAGGUGGCAAGCGUUGUCCGGAAUUAUUGGGCGUAAAGGGCUCGCAGGCGGUUUCUUAAGUCUGAUGUGAAAGCCCCCGGCUCAACCGGGGAGGGUCAUUGGAAACUGGGGAACUUGAGUGCAGAAGAGGAGAGUGGAAUUCCACGUGUAGCGGUGAAAUGCGUAGAGAUGUGGAGGAACACCAGUGGCGAAGGCGACUCUCUGGUCUGUAACUGACGCUGAGGAGCGAAAGCGUGGGGAGCGAACAGGAUUAGAUACCCUGGUAGUCCACGCCGUAAACGAUGAGUGCUAAGUGUUAGGGGGUUUCCGCCCCUUAGUGCUGCAGCUAACGCAUUAA